GGCUCAAUGGUCUAGUGGUAUGAUUCGUGCUUCGGGUGAUUCUUCUUUCCUCGGAAGAUUCCCAUUGCUUGCAACCAACAAGCAACAAGAUUUGUGCGAGGUCUCGGGUUCGAAUCCCGAUUGAGCCC